AAUAAACAUAUAUACACAAUACUGUGAACAAACCAGAGUGUAUAAAACAUGUAAUAUAUUAUAAUAUUUAGCAAUGAAUGUUUUAUCAUGGAAUAUUGCUAUAAUGAAUAUUAAUAUCGAUGGAGRUAGUUGGAGUUAAGAGUACUGAUAGGCGAGCGGUGAAAUGCAUUGACCCUAUUAAGACUAACAAAAGCGAAAGCACUUAACUAGAUUAUUCUCUUUGUAUUAUUUUACAAUGAAGAGCGAAGGUUGGGGGAACAAAGAGGAUCAGAUACCCUCGUAGUCCUAUUUUUACAUCAAACUAUGGGAUUUCAUUCACACUAAACACUAAACAUUAUAAUUAUAAUUAUGAUUGAGUAUAUGUCAAAAUAUUACUCUCAUAUUAAAUAAUUAUUAUAAUAUAUGAUUAUAUGUACUUUGAGCUCAUAUAAUUAUAUAGGUGAGAUGUAAGCAUUAUAAAGUGAAUAAUAUACAAGUAAUAUUGUAUUAUUAUGAUCUUUAAAAUAAAAAAUGUAAUGUGAUG
rnacentral:rRNA from 1 species